GGGCGGAUAGCUCAAUGGUAGAGCGCCAAGCUUAUACCUUGGUGGUUCCAGGUUCGAGCCCUGGUCCGCCCA
rnacentral:tRNA from 1 species